GAUGAAGAACGUAGUGAAAUGCGAUAAGUAAUGUGAAUUGCAGAAUUCAGUGAAUCAUCGAAUCUUUGAACGCACAUUGCGCCCGCCAGUAUUCUGGCGGGCAUGCCUGUUCGAGCGUCAUUACAACCCUCAGGCCCCCGGGCCUGGCGUUGGGGAUCGGCGGGGCCCCCCGUGGGCACACGCCGUCCCCCAAAUGCAGUGGCGGUCCCGCCGCAGCUUCCAUCGCGUAGUAGCUAACACCUCGCGACUGGAGAGCGGCGCGGCCACGCCGUAAAACACCCAACUCUUCUGAAGUUGACCUCGAAUCAGGUAGGAAUACCCGCUGAACUUAAGCAUAUCAAUAAGCGGAGGA
rnacentral:misc_RNA from 1 species